rnacentral:rRNA from 1 species
UACGUAGGGACCAAGCGUUGUCCGGAAUCAUUGGGCGUAAAGAGCGUGUAGGCGGCUUGUUAAGUCUUGCGUGAAAUCUCGGGGCUCAACCCCGAGCGGUCGUGAGAAACUGGCAGGCUAGAGUGCGGGAGAGGAGAGUGGAAUUCCUGGUGUAGCGGUGAAAUGCGCAGAUAUCAGGAAGAACACCCGUGGCGAAGGCGGCUCUCUGGGCCGGUACUGACGCUGAGGAGCGAAAGCGUGGGGAGCAAACAGG